AUUGAACGCUGGCGGCAGGCCUAACACAUGCAAGUCGAGCGGAUGAGAGGAGCUUGCUUCUCGAUUCAGCGGCGGACGGGUGAGUAAUGCCUAGGAAUCUGCCUGGUAGUGGGGGACAACGUUUCGAAAGGAACGCUAAUACCGCAUACGUCCUACGGGAGAAAGCAGGGGACCUUCGGGCCUUGCGCUAUCAGAUGAGCCUAGGUCGGAUUAGCUAGUUGGUGAGGUAAUGGCUCACCAAGGCGACGAUCCGUAACUGGUCUGAGAGGAUGAUCAGUCACACUGGAACUGAGACACGGUCCAGACUCCUACGGGAGGCAGCAGUGGGGAAUAUUGGACAAUGGGCGAAAGCCUGAUCCAGCCAUGCCGCGUGUGUGAAGAAGGUCUUCGGAUUGUAAAGCACUUUAAGUUGGGAGGAAGGGUUGUACGUUAAUACCGUGCAAUUUUGACGUUACCGACAGAAUAAGCACCGGCUAACUCUGUGCCAGCCGCCGCAGUAAAAC
rnacentral:rRNA from 1 species